GAGAGAGAAGUUCCGCUUAACGCCGGGCUGCGAAAGGCGGGGACGUCACGCUAUUGGUAGGGAGUAGAGAGAAAGGGCUGGUUUAAAGGCCUUUUUUCUGUCCAUUGGAUGAACUGGAUGUCAAUCACUCAGGCUGAGUGGGCGGCGCUGAGAGAGGUCGGUGAGAGCGGCCUUAGCAACCGCCAGUGAGCUGUGAAGACUUGGGUUGAGCGGGGCUGCGGGAGGUGACGUCGGGAGGUCCCGGCUGAGAGCGCCGGCUGCCGCCUGGGGACAUGGUGUGUGUGAAGCUGUAACCUUCUGCUGGGGCCGGGGCUGAAGUUUUUCCGCCAGAGCAAGGAAGGCUGCUCCUGGCAGCAACUGCACUCCUUCCUUACUCCUGUUGAGGUUCAUUUUAUAGUAGGAAAUAGGCAUCUAACUACCAUACAAGUUCAGACCAAUGGAAGAAAAGAGCAGCAAAAAUUGAACUGAAUGAAUCCCAAAAGCAAGAAAUUAAAGACGCCUUUAAUUUAUUUGAUAUUGAUGGGUCUGGAACCAUCGAUGUAAAAGAAGGAAAUGCUUGAUGAAGCUGAUCAUGAUGGAGAUGGAGAAAUAAACGAGGAAGAUUUUUUGAGAGUGAUGAAAAAGACUACUCGUUAUUAAUAGCAUUGUUUUGGUCCUUGUGGAAAAUUAACAAAUUUGUAUUUGUUAUGCAGUUUUAUAAUUUAAUAUCUGAAUGUAUUCAUUUUCAGUUUUUAGUUUAUAUGUACACAUUGGCUUCUUGAUGUCUAAUCCAUGUAAGAAGUUACACAUCUCUACCAAUAUGAUGUUAAAUCUACAGCAUCAAGAAACAAAACAUAAUGACUUCUUUGAGCCAUUAAUCCAAGAACAGUAUUGAUUCUAGCUGCUCUUUUGAGAACCUUAGGUCACAAAGACUUAGAAUUUUAAAGUUUGAUGAAAUUGGCUUCACAUCCAAAUGAAUUUGGCAAACAAAACUUAUAUUUUCCUUUCGUGCAAUCCAAAAAAACCUGAUGAACAUUUGCUUUUUAGUCAGUUACUCAAAUACAUAAAGUAUUAAAUAGAACUGUCUGGAAACAUUAUUUGCUAAUUUUCUUCUUUUAGUUAUAAAGAAAAUUCAAAAUAGCACUUACAUCACCCAUAUUUCCCUGUAAGUUUGACCCUAUAGUGAGCACUUAAUACCUCUGUGCUAGGACAGGUGGUGUAGAGUUUUAUUUUUAAAAAAUUUUAUUUAUAUAUUUUUUGAGACAAAAUCUCCCUCUGUCACCCAGGCUGGAGUGCAGUGGUGCGAUCUCGGCUCAAUGCAACCUCUGCCUCCUGGGCUCGAGAGAUUCUCCUGCCUCAGCCUCCCGAGUAGCUGGGACUACAGGUACCUGCCACCAUGCCUAGCUAAUUUUUUGCAUUUUUAGUAGAGACGGAGUUUCACUGUGUUAGCCAUGAUGGUCUCAAUCUCCUGACCUCGUGAUCUGCCUACCUCAGCCUCCCAAACUGCUGGGAUUACAGGGGUGAGCCACCGUGCCUGGCCGAGAUUUUAUGUAUUAACCUCAGUAAACAUAUUACAAGUUGGAAGCUGAUUGUAUUAGCUCCAUUUUACAUACAAGAAAACUAAAGUUCAGAGAAGUUUUAAAAAUUCCCCAGUUGCCCAUUGAUAAUAAAUAAAAACAUGGAUUCCAAAUCUUAAGUUCUUAUUCUUCAUUAUGCUGCUUCCCUAUGGAUAAAACUUUCAAGAUAACUGUGUAUUUUCUAACUCAUUUUCAAUUCUGUGACUCUUGUGAUUUCUUCCUUGUGAAAGAGCCAAACUGUUGGGAAACGGAAUCUCAUACAUACAGUCUUUUAACUCCUACUCAGUUGUUUGAGAGUGGGCCUUGGGCCUGGAACACUUCUUUUGAAGAGACUAGGAGUCCACAGAGCCUGUGCUGAACUUACCACCCCGUAUAGUAAUAUCUUCCUCUGUUUCAGAGUCAAUGUGUAGUCCUUUGCCCUGCUGAAGUGUGUGCAUCAUAUGGCAUCUGACCAACCCCACUGCUCUGUCUCCUGUUGGGGAGGGGAUGGGGGUCCUUCAGCACAAGAGGAGUGUUUGCAGGCCACCUGCCCUGUGUCAGCUGCCAAGAGGGACCCUCUGGUCAUGGAAGACUGAAGUCCACUAGGGAAGCUGAUCUUGCUCUGUCUCUUCUGUAUAGCAAGAUCAAAUUCAUCAAUAUAUGGACAAUUUAAGAGGCUUUUACUCCAACCGUUCCUGACCAAAUUCUGCCAACAACCAUGUGAACGAGCUUUGAAACUGAUCUUUUUCCAGUUGACCUUUGAGAUAGUACAACUCUAGUUGACACUUUGAUUACAACAAGUGAGAGACCCUGAAGCAGAGGAACAAGUGAAGGCACCCCUGGAUUUCUGAUUUAUAGAAACCGUGCAAUAACAAUUAUUUUAAGCUACUGAGUUAUGGGACAGCUAUGCAGCAAUAGAUUACUGCUAUAGUCCUCCAUCUUGAGACUUGUGUUAACUUCUCCCCUAUUGAACGGCUAGAUAUACAAGGAACCAACUAAGAGUUCUAUCAAAUAUUAAAUAAAGAUGAGAUUAAAUAGACUUAUUACAUGAUGGCAUAUUUAAAAUAGCAACAUCAUUUAUUAGGGUGAUGCUCUUUUAUAACUAUUUGCUUGUCACACACGCAUCUGAAACUCAGUGAGUUUGCUGCCUCUUUCUGUAGCUUAGAUAUCAUGGGGACUUUAGUUCACCAAUGAGAGGACUAUUAAGAACUUUUUUAA